UGGGUUGUUUGGUAUAAAAAUGCUAUAUUGAGCUUGUUGGAGUCUUUGGAUUUUAAAAAUUGCUUCUUUCAAAUAUAUAUUUGUCCUCCUAGUUUAAGAUAUAAGAUGCAUAUGCUUGACAUGAAAAUUGCAUUUUAGAUUGGAUUAAUAAGUUAGGUUUUCUGGAAAAGACAUAUUUUCAAGUCUCAAUUAGAUUAAUUGUUGUGGUCUGUUUACUGCCUCUCUUAGAUACUUUCCAUUUCUUUGAAAUGUUGGAAUUUGUUAAGCUUUCCCAGCAACUCAUGUUGUGUGAACUCAUGUUUCAAAUUACAUUUCCUCUCACUUUCUAUGUGUUAAAUAUAUUAAGAUAGAUAGAUAUAUGUAUGUUUAGUGUUCUUGCUCUUCUUAGAUGGUUACCUUAACUUUUUUUUAGGUACUCUUAAGUGUUAUGGUAAAAAUUCAAUUGUCCUUUUCCUUAUCUAAUAUUUUGAUAUUCUUAUCGCUUAAGUAUGUGUUUGGAAUUUAUGAUUGUGUUGUUUCUUGGUUUGAAUGUGGAAGAAUUGUGUUAGGUUUGGAAAUUAAUUGUCUUUGUUUGUUUCUGUUGGUUUCUUCCAUUGUUUGACUUAUGUAAAUUGCAUUAUUAUGUAUUGUUUGAGUUUGUUUAUGUUAAUUUGCUAAUCUUUUAUUCCUUUAUUUCUUGGUGCAUGAACACUCUCUCGUUGAGUCCAAUUUGGACUCCCAUCUCAUGCAUUUUCCUCUCUUCGAGUCCUCCUCCAAGUCGUGAAAGAGAAGUUAUUUUUAUUGGGUUAAAAAUUCAAUAAAUGAGGCAGAUUGCAGCGGUCCUAAAGGGCUGAAACUUGAGUAUUUUGGACUUAAAAGCUUGGUAAAAUGACCAGCAGCAGUAGAGACCUCAAAAAGGCCGAAAAAGGAGAAACAAAAUUGGGUUAAAACCCCUAAAGGAUCAAGAGGCAACACAACAAUUUCAGCCCCGAAAUGAUCGAAUGUGGGCUGGAAUUUCCAGUUUUUGACUCACUGUUCAUGUUACUUCCUCUUAUUAUUUUAUUUGUGAUGGCUAACAUUUUCUUAAUCUAGAUGAAAUUCCCAUGGAUCUCUUCGAGUUUAUUUUUAUCAAAGUUUUCUUUAUUAUAAUUGGUAGCAUUUCAAAUUUUCAAAUUCCCAAAACUCAUUUUAAGUUAUGCAAUUUAAGCUUAUUAGAAUAAGGGAUAAGGGUAUGAAAAAUACCUUAACUUUGGUCGAAUUUGCUGUUGCGAUACUAAACUUUCAUGAGGACCUAUUACCUCCCUAGACUAUUUAAUACUGUAUUUUAAACAUACAUAUUUGCCCACGUGGACAUAAAAAAUAAUGCAAAAUUAUAAAUAGUAAUGUGUCCACGUGUGCACAUAUAUACCUUUAAAAUACACUAUUAAAUAGUUCAGGGGGUAAAAAAUACACUAUUAAAUAGUCUAGGGAGGUAAUAGGUCCUCAUGAAAGUUUAGUAUCGCAACAGCAAAUUCGACCAAAGUUAAGGUAUUUUUCAUACCCUUAUCCCUUAUUCUAAUAAGCUUAAAUUGCAUAACUUAAAAUGAGUUUUGGGAAUUUGAAAAUUUGAAAUGCUACCAAUUAUAAUAAAGAAAACUUUGAUAAAAAUAAACUCGAAGAGAUCCAUGGGAAUUUCAUCUAGAUUAAGAAAAUGUUAGCCAUCACAAAUAAAAUAAUAAGAGGAAGUAACAUGAACAGUGAGUCAAAAACUGGAAAUUCCAGCCCACAUUCGAUCAUUUCGGGGCUGAAAUUGUUGUGUUGCCUCUUGAUCCUUUAGGGGUUUUAACCCAAUUUUGUUUCUCCUUUUUCGGCCUUUUUGAGGUCUCUACUGCUGCUGGUCAUUUUACCAAGCUUUUAAGUCCAAAAUACUCAAGUUUCAGCCCUUUAGGACCGCUGCAAUCUGCCUCAUUUAUUGAAUUUUUAACCCAAUAAAAAUAACUUCUCUUUCACGACUUGGAGGAGGACUCGAAGAGAGGAAAAUGCAUGAGAUGGGAGUCCAAAUUGGACUCAACGAGAGAGUGUUCAUGCACCAAGAAAUAAAGGAAUAAAAGAUUAGCAAAUUAACAUAAACAAACUCAAACAAUACAUAAUAAUGCAAUUUACAUAAGUCAAACAAUGGAAGAAACCAACAGAAACAAACAAAGACAAUUAAUUUCCAAACCUAACACAAUUCUUCCACAUUCAAACCAAGAAACAACACAAUCAUAAAUUCCAAACACAUACUUAAGCGAUAAGAAUAUCAAAAUAUUAGAUAAGGAAAAGGACAAUUGAAUUUUUACCAUAACACUUAAGAGUACCUAAAAAAAAGUUAAGGUAACCAUCUAAGAAGAGCAAGAACACUAAACAUACAUAUAUCUAUCUAUCUUAAUAUAUUUAACACAUAGAAAGUGAGAGGAAAUGUAAUUUGAAACAUGAGUUCACACAACAUGAGUUGCUGGGAAAGCUUAACAAAUUCCAACAUUUCAAAGAAAUGGAAAGUAUCUAAGAGAGGCAGUAAACAGACCACAACAAUUAAUCUAAUUGAGACUUGAAAAUAUGUCUUUUCCAGAAAACCUAACUUAUUAAUCCAAUCUAAAAUGCAAUUUUCAUGUCAAGCAUAUGCAUCUUAUAUCUUAAACUAGGAGGACAAAUAUAUAUUUGAAAGAAGCAAUUUUUAAAAUCCAAAGACUCCAACAAGCUCAAUAUAGCAUUUUUAUACCAAACAACCCAAUGGCGAAGAGUAUACAACUUAUAUUUCUAAUUAUAUGCAUUCAAAAGAGGGUAAAUGGAAGGAAGGAAACCAUCCGUAAUUAUAUCGAUCAGCAACUAUAUAACAUGGAUUUCAAAGUUGAAUAAGAAUUAAGUUAACUAGAAGCACAUAUUUCACAUAGAUUUACGAACUCGGCUAAGCGAAGGAAUCAUCUACACAUUUUCUCAAGUAUAUGGAAAUAACCAUGAAGGAAAUAUAAAAUAGGCGAGUUCAAAUAAGUAACUUGAACAAGAUCAUACUUCAUAAGAAAACAGAAAAUAAACUAGCACACCAUAUAUGAUACUCGAAAAAAAUAAAAAAACAUACCUAGCCAUCAAGACACAUAAUAGAAAUAAGCAAUGGCCAUAAUGAAACGCCCUAAACAAAUUUACUUGCUGAACAAAUAAGAGCUAAACUUGGCUAAUCUACAAGAUUAAACUUGGCUAAUCUACAAGAUUAUAGGAAAUACCCAAAACUGAAAAUGACAGGAUAUUAGGAAGAGAAAACUAACUAAGCCAAAAUUAAUUUUUGCUCGGAAUAAACAACAACAACAACAACAAAAGAACACUUCAGAUAAUGAGGAAAAUAACAAUUUAUUUUUCUAUGCUAAAGCAGCUAAUACCAAACAUGAUUACAACGAGCAAAACAUAAUUGAGAGCGCACGAAACAUUGAAAUAAAGAGAAGAUUACCUGGUUCUGGGCAGCGAACCGGACGUCAAGUUUGACGGAGACGACCACCACCUCCUUCAACUCAAACAACCACAAAAGCUACAAAAUUUGAACUAUUGAACCAAGAAUUCCCAAAACAUUUAGGGUACUCUUUGGUCUCCAAAAAAAAUCCUCCUGAACAGUGAAGAGAGAAGGGCUUAUAUAGGACAAUUUCUGAGUCGAAAUUGAGGGGGAAAAUGAUGUGGGACUACUGUAAAUUUUGAAAUUCUUAGAGGAUAAGGUGUGAGCUGUAAUGUACCAUUCUCAACGGAAAAACUGACGAGGGCCGCUUGAUUUUGAACAAGGACGAGCGAGGCGUCAAGAUGCAAACACCUGGCUUCGUACGAGGAUAUUUCUGUACGAGAGGAUAAGGAGAGAGCACGCACUGCUGCUGGGUUCGCUAUUUGCUGUUGGUUCGCGUUUGGUACACGUUUUCUGGGUUUGGGUCGCAAUUCAGGAGAAGAAGACGCGUGAAGGUGUCGUUCUGGGUAUUGUACGCGUAUGUACUGCUGUACUGUUCUUUUGCUGAAAUAAAAGGGGUCGGGUCGGGUUGAUUUGUACGCAUCUGGGUAUUUUGGUAUAGAACGUUGUAUUGUCGGUUGUUGGGUUGAAUUAGUAUGUUGAUGGGUCUUCUGGAAUUGAAUUGGAUUUGGUCAUUGGGAAUUAGGAAUGGAAAACUUGGGCUCAAACACAACUAAUUGAUAGGCUGAAUACUAAAGUCCAAAUUGAAAUUUAAAAAGAAUGAAGAGUUUGGUCCCUGAGUCUUGAAAAUGACAAGGAUGACAAAAUUUGAAACUAAAUAAAUUAUGUAUCUAAUAAAUUAAAAAGCUUCUUGAAUUUUUUACAAAUGUGAAAUAAUUAACUAAUUAUCGAAAAUAAUACCAAUUGCAACACUAAUUAAAAUUUUGAUUAGUUUAAGGAAAAUAAGAUAAGUAUUAAGUUACACACAUUUUUUUUAGACAAAUUUUUAAAAUAUUUAUAAAACCCCAAAGUCAUACACAAAACUUAUAUGUAUAUAAAUAUAGAAAUAUAUAAUUGCUCCUAAAAACAAAACAAAACCAAGCUUGAAAACAUUUUUGGAUUUUUCAAAAACAAUUAUUUCCAAUUGUUUAAAAUUUAAGAAGCUUAAAAAUUAAUCAAAUCGUGGGGGGUCAAAAUUGGAUGUCAACACAAAUAACAACUCUCUCUAAAUAAUAAAAAUUGUAAGCUAAUUUAUUUAAAUAAAUUUACUGGUACAAAUAUAAAACAUAAAACACAAAAAAUAAACAAAAUCGUUAAAAGGAUUUGAGGGGUAUAUCUUUACAUAGAUUAAUACCAUGGUAUUAAAUUAUAUGUAUUCUUAAUAUCAUGAACUGUAAGGUAUUAGUUAGACAUUCUAUACCAUGUUGGGUGUAUAACUAAUCCUUGAAUUAUUUGUACAUAAAAAAAAUAUUAAAAUGAGUUCGAGAAAAUAUAUUUUUUUAGACUGUGAUCAUUAAAGAAGAUUUAUGGUUUGCCAUAAUUGGAAAAUUUACUUAUUGCUCAUUAGAACUAGAAGAGAUUCGUAAAAUUAGUCUUUUACGGUGUGAGAUUCAAGGCUGAGUGUAAGGUAGGAUUCUUGAGUGAUAGACACAUCCUAAUUCGCCUAACCACUAUGUAAGAUUACGUACAUGUCAUGUAAAAGCCAACAUAUUUUUGAAGGCUAAAGAAAGGUAUACUAUCAAAUGCACUCUAAAUUAAAGUGGGAACCCUAGUUCAACCUAGAGGCGGAAACUUCUACUGCCUUUACGUGGAUCUCUCUUCCAUCCUUAUCACCUAAUUUUUUUCAUUAAAGAAUCCUUGUUUACGAUGGUCAAAGCAGUGGGAAAACCGUUGCAUGCUGACAUGGCUACAAUAAGAAAAUCUAGACCUAGUUGUGUCAAGGUAAAAGUUGAAGUCGACUUAUUGAAAGAAUUUCCCAAAUGGAUCAAUGUUGGAGUUAAGAAGACAUCUUCUGGGGAAAUCAUCUCAACAUGGAUAAAAAUCUUACACGAUUACAAUAUUGCAAAUAUUGCAGACUUAAAGACGGAGGCAUGAUUUAUGUCGAAGGGGUUCAAAAAGAUAAGUAAGCAUACUAGUAGUAUUCACAAAUGAGUGAAGUGGGGCGGGUCAAAUAUAAACGGGUCGGAUUCGAUAUAGGCAACUAAAUAAAAUUCAACUCUACUUGAACACAAACAAUAAAAUUGAGGAUGUAUGUGUAUCACCCCAAAAAAUUUUAAGUCAAGACCCGAACUAUUCUUCAUUUACUUGUAGGGUCAUAUCAGGUGGUUCUUAAAUUAUCCAUAUGUGUAAAGGUAAAUUCUUUAGUGUGAGAAUGAUUUUGGAUAUCAAUUAAGGUCACUAGAAACUCCUACCACAAAGUUGAGUUGAAAGUUUCCUUACUGAUUAAGUUUUGAGGUUAGAUUGUCUUUGGGUCAACUUCAAAUGACCAUAUCUCUUAGAAUAUAAAGAGUUACAUGGCCUAUCAUAACCUAUCAAAUUAAAGGUGUCUGGAUUUUCUUUCCAAUGCCACCAAUUUCACAACUAAAUUACCUACGGAUUUUUUGAAAUUCGCAAGUACUAAUUACCUACGAAGCUUUUUCCAUCAAAUUUUAAUUGGCCAAGAAAUUUGCAGGUAAUCAAAUUACUUGGGAAUUUUACUGUAUUAUCCCUAUGAAAAUCCCCAGAUCAGCACUUUUCUUGUAGUGUGUGUCAUGGCUUUGUUGAGGAUAUUAUAGUGACAACAUUAAUAUAAUAAAAAUAAGCUUUCAAGGGAUUAAUGAAUUCAUUCGUGUGACUAAUUAGUUUGCAAUUGAUCCAGCGCAAGCAUCCAAGUAUAUUUGUUGAAAUUAUUUAUGAUUUAGUAAAGGGUAAAAAAUAUCCUUAAUUAUGUAAAAUUGAAUAAAAAUGCCAUUGCUUAAUAGUUUCAUUUAAAAGUACCUUUAUAGUUAAAAAAAGAAGAAGGGAAGUUUAAAGAUGAUACUCAUCCAUAAGACCAUAACUAGGGACUAGCACAACAUAUUCAUCCCACAAUUUUCUUUUCUUAUGCUAGAGAAAUAGGCAAUGUCUGCUUAAGUUGUUUUUAUUGAGCAAAAGUGACAAAAAUUAGAUUAAUAAUUAAUGAGUUGAAAUUCAUCUUGACUUGUUCUUAACUUUUUUUCUUUCCUAUUUUUUAGAUAGGUAUCAAAAACUCACCUAAACUAUCUCAUUUUUUUUUAGAGUGUGAGUUUUAUACCUAAACUACCACUUAUUAGUUUGAGAAACACACCCCUCUCUUUUAUUACAUUCUCUUCAUGGUGUGUGUACCAUACUCUCUCUUUUAUUUUAAAAAAAUUGUCACAUCACACUCCACAUGGACAAAACAUUUCAGCUUGACAAAAAUUAAACAAAUUAUUAGCUUAGUUAAAAUUAAGGAUUAAAGAAUUAUUAACCCAAAAUAAUAAUAUUUUUUUAUAAAAUAAAAUGUAAAAUAUUUUUCUUACCCCACGCCAUCACUUCCUCUCACCGUACCCUCCUCCCCCCGCCAUUUUUCAGUUUUUUUUGUUUAAAUUUCUUUUACAAAAGUAUUUAAUUUUUUUUUACUUCAUUUCUCUCUCUCCCUCAAAUUAGAUAUUAUAUUAUUUUUUUAAUAUAAAUAUAAUACUAUUAAUUAUUUUUUUGGAAUGAGUGGGUGGUUUGGGUGGGGGGUGAGGUGAAGUAUGAUUUAAAAAAAAUAUUUUAUAAAAGAAAUUUUAAAAAAUAAAGGGAGACAUGGGAUGUACGCGGGGGGGGGGGGGAGGUGGUACUUUUUGAAAAAAAAUAUUUUUUUUGGGGAUAUUAAUACUUUAAUCUUUAUUUUUAACCAAUAUUAAUAGUUUAUUAUUUAAUUUUUGUCAAGGUAAACUAAUUUAUCCAUGUGGAAUGUCAUUGGUCAAUGUUUUUGCAAAUAAAAGAGAGUGUAUUAUACACACCACUGAGGUGUGUUUCUCAAACGGAUAAGUGAUAGUUUAGGCAUGAAACUCACACUCCUAAUUAUUUAGGUAUGAAACUCAAAAAAAGUAUAUAGUUUAGGUGUGUUUUUGAUACUUUAUCUCUUUUUAAGAAAAAAUAAUCAUUUAGAUCCAUGUUAUACAAAAUUCUAAUUAUCUAUAAUAGGGGGUGAAACAAAGUGGGAACAACCACUGCGAUAGUCGAUUUUGGCGUAAAAAUAUAUCAAUCAAUUCAUGCCCAUAAUAAAAUCAAAGUAUAGCAUCUCUAGUUCUAUCAAGUCUAUAUGGGUCUAACGACCAACAAUCUCUACUAUACAACCUCAGUAAAGCCACUUGGAAAUGAAAGAGUCACCAACUAGAGUAGAUAUUGUUGGGUUUGAAAGAAUCAAAGCGUCAUGCGGAAGCUUACAAUUGCAAUCAUGCCCAUAAUAAAAUCAAAGUAUAGCAUCUCUAGUUCUAUCAAGUCUAUAUGGGUCUAACGACCAACAAUCUCUACUAUACAACCUCAGUAAAGCCACUUGGAAAUGAAAGAGUCACCAACUAGAGUAGAUAUUGUUGGGUUUGAAAGAAUCAAAGCGUCAUGCGGAAGCUUACAAUUGCAAAUAAUAUCGGGGAUAAAUUAUAUGAUGAAAACUUACUAAAAAUGAAAAUAUUAUUAUAUGAUUUGGCCAAUUAGCCUACAUAUUUACUGGAUACUGGGAUUAAGAUUUUGCUGGAUGUGUUGACAUUAGAAAGUCCACAUUUGGUUACUUGUUCCAAUUAGCUGAAGGAGCAAUAUCGUGGAAGAGUGCUAAUCAAUCUGUCAUUGCUACAUCCAAAAUGGAAGAAGAUUUUGUGACAUGUUAUGUAACCACAAUUCAUGCAUUAUGGCAUUUCAGGACUUGGGGUUGUCGACACCAUUACCAAGCCACUAAAAAUUUAUUGUGAUAAUGCAUCAAUAUUCUUUUCCAAGAACGAUAAGUAUUCCAAAUGUGUCAAACAUAUGGAAUUCAAGUAGUUUAUUGUCAAGGAAGAAGUUCAGAAACAAAGAGUGUUACUUGAGAAUAUUAGAAUUGAUCUCAUGAUUGCAAAUCCGUUAAUAAAGGUCUUAAAAUCAAAGUCAUUUAAAGAACAUGUUCAAAGAAUGGGUCUUGGUUGUACUUAUGAUUGAUACAUUUAUGAUGUUUUUACACUUUGAGCUCAAUUAUGUUUUUCUGAUAUAUAGUAAUGAAUUUCUUGAUUCUCAUAAUAGUGUAUAUAUUAUUGUUUUGAGAUAUUACAAGACAAGUCUCUAUGAGACAUUAUUGUGGACCAUAAUGUUAUAUGUUUUAUAGCUUAUGAACCUAGUAUGAUAAUUUGCUAAUGCAGUAGUAUAUGGAAGGAAGUAUGUAGCUUAAAAUUUACGUACAACCGCCAUAACUCACAUUAGUAGUUUGUUAUAUUGUGGUAUGUAUGAUGAACAUUAUAGAAGACAUUUAUUGUAUGCACAACUAAUGUUUAUGAAAUAUUAAUGUUAUAUGGUCAUUGGGCCAAGUGGGGGAAUGUAAGAAUUAUUUCUUACUUGUGACCCAAGUUUACUUGUGGCCUAAGUUUACUUGUAGGCCAAGUUUACUUGUAGCCCAAGUAAUACCAUAAAUAAUAUUUUAUGAUUAAUAAAUCUUGUAUGUACAUUGGUUAUUUGAUGGACGUAUUAGAUUAAGUCUUAACCUCUAUAAAUUGGUCCUCCAUUCUCCCAUUAGGGUUACAACAUAUUCUCUAAAAUAAUUUUAUUGCUGAUGGUUGUGGUAGCGUAAGUGUCACGCCCCGAGCCUACACCCUGGGCGGGACUGGCACUCGAAGACCAUUGUUGGCCUCAAGCGAACCCUUGGACUGGCUUACUUAACUCAACGGAAGACUUAGACAUAAGAAAAAUAUAACUCAUGCAUAACUUGAGAAAUAAUAGUUUAGCCAAAAUGGCAAAUCAGUCUUUAAACAACAUCUGAAUGAUAAUGUAAAGGCAACUGAACUACUAACUGUCUAUGAAGCCUCUAAAACAANNNNNNNNNNNNNNNNNNNNNNNNNNNNNNNNNNNNNNNNNNNNNNNNNNNNNNNNNNNNNNNNNNNNNNNNNNNNNNNNNNNNNNNNNNNNNNNNNNNNNNNNNNNNNNNNNNNNNNNNNNNNNNNNNNNNNNNNNNNNNNNNNNNNNNNNNNNNNNNNNNNNNNNNNNNNNNNNNNNNNNNNNNNNNNNNNNNNNNNNNNNNNNNNNNNNNNNNNNNNNNNNNNNNNNNNNNNNNNNNNNNNNNNNNNNNNNNNNNNNNNNNNNNNNNNNNNNNNNNNNNNNNNNNNNNNNNNNNNNNNNNNNNNNNNNNNNNNNNNNNNNNNNNNNNNNNNNNNNNNNNNNNNNNNNNNNNNNNNNNNNNNNNNNNNNNNNNNNNNNNNNNNNNNNNNNNNNNNNNNNNNNNNNNNNNNNNNNNNNNNNNNNNNNNNNNNNUAUGUAAAAAUACAAUAAACUGAUGUAUAUAAAAAUACAAUAACCUUUGUGGGAGUUUCUCUAAUCGACAACCAUCGCUAUGAGCCUAAGUGAUGGUACAACGUUUUACCUCACGUUGCCAAGGACCAUCCUAUGCUGAAAAGCACUAAGGAAUCAUCUAAAAAGUAUGAUCCUUUUUCUGCCCAAGAUGGCUGCAUGGUUUACGGGGGCUUGAGUUAAUAUGAACUCGCGUCCCCAUAUCGGUGCUCAAUACUACUCCCAAAAAUAUACUUAGCUCAUAUGUUUUUCUUAAAACAUCUUCUUCUCUGGUUUGAGAUAAUUACUCAAACUUAGCUUAAAAGAUCUCUUAGAAUCAAUGUUCCCCUUUUUGCUUCUUCAAAACUCUUUUGGAAAUCUCAGUUUCCUCUCAUCUUAAAUGUGAAAACAUUUACUCUUGGAAAUACUUAGUUCCCAUAUAUCAUUUUAAAGAAAAUGAACUUUGCUCUUACUCUUUACUCAACUUCAAAACUUAAGUCUUAAAGCAAGGUUAAAACGUUUGUAAAAGACUUAUGGAAACUUGAAAUGAACUUCUCUUACUAGACUCUUGACUUCUCUUGAAUUUGAUCUUAACUGCUCUUGACUCGACUUUUAACUGAUCCUUGAAUUGAAUUAUGGAUUCAAGGAUUAAGAUUUGGGUUUGGAAAAAUCUCAUGUUGUUUAGGAAUGAUUCUAGAUAGUUAAACAUGAGAAAAGACCAAAAAUAAAUAUUUGAAGGUGGGUACGCGACGCGGAGGCAUAAUUUAAUUUUGGUUCCGAAAAUGUCUUUUGAGGCAGAACACCUCGUGUUAGCUCCACGACGCGAAGAAGAAUUUUCAAAACUGGGGGAUAGGCGCGCGACACGCCACUGAUGCCAAAUUUCGCCCGACAAAAUUUCUUCUUCGUUUUCCAACCCCAAUUUGCCCAAUCUCGGUUCGUUUUCUCAAAUCUCUUUUAGAUACAAAUACCUAGCAAAUGGACCUAAGAACCUAAUUCAAAACGACUCUAUAAUACGAAGUAACGAUCUCAGAAACUCCUCAAUUCAUCCCAAUUCAAGAACAAAAAUCAAAUUCAAGAAUAAGUAAUAAGAUCAUCAAUACUCAAACUCUUUUAGGACGAAUUCUGCUGAACGAAACAUGUUUGGCGCGUGGGUGAAUGAACCCAAUGCUAUGAAGGACUCACAUACCUUGUAGGGUCAAUUCCUUGGCGAAUCCGCAACCAAAAUAGAUCGUUGUUGGCGAAUCCUGCUUUUCCUCCUCUUUUCUCUUGCGUCCUUUCUCCAAAAUCCCUAACUCUAUUUCUCAAAAGUGUAAACUGAACUAACUUAGUUUUGACCCCAAUUAUUUUAUUAAAAACGGAUUUAAUUGAUUGGGUAAGGAAAAGACCAAAUUACCCUUCAAAAUCCGGAUUGGGCAGUUCCUUAUUCGAACAGCCCAACUUCCAAAGGGCUUAACUCGCUCAUACGAACUCGGAAUCGCGCAAAAUUAGUGGCAUUGGAAAGAUCAUUCCAAGAGAUUUCCAACCAUAUCUGGAAUUACACCUAACGCAUCCUGAGCUAGGAGUUAUGGUCGUUUGAAGUUGACCAAAAACUCACUUUAAUUUACUUAAAAUUAUCCAGAUUUCCUUAUACUCUCCAAAAAUAAAUAUUUCCAGAUUUUAAACUUCCUUCUAGUUCUUUCUAGUUGCGAGAUGUUACAGUAAGGCUAUGGUAAGGAGGUAGAAAUCAAUUUACGACUAACGCUUUCGCUUUCUUUGUGAUGAUGUCUUCCGCAUAAGGUAUGUGACUCUAACGAUCUCUAUGUAAGAUUAUCGUGUUCAAAAUGAUGAUAUGUAUUAAAGUAUUUAAUCUUACAGAAAACACCAAACAAAUUGAUCUCAUUUGCAUCAAUCUCAUAACUUCAUUCAUUUUAUGAUUGAGUUACAUUCACAGGUAUAUAACAUAAAAGUAUUCAAAACUUUAUGUUUUUUGAGAUUGUUGCGUCACUUGAUCCUUGGUUGAUGUUAUUGAAAUCUCUUUGUGAUUCAAAAAGUUUUGAACCAUUUGGUUGACUAUGUUUAUCUUGCAGUUCCUUCUACAGAUCUCAAGCCGUUUGAAAGUAGAUAACACUUCUGCUUGAUGAGACAUAGCUUGUUUUAUCCGAGAAAGAAAUUGAAACUCCUCUAUUCCAGUUUUCAUAACUGGUAAGGGUGUGUUUGGUAAUGUUUUCCAAUUUUCUCAUGUUUGGUUGGGUUAAAUGUUUUGGAAAAUGUUUUCCAAAUCAACUCAUUUUCCUCAAAUUUAAGGAAAAUGACUUCCCUUCAAAGGAAAACAUUUUUCAAAACUCUCUUUCAACUUCAAAUUACAAUUUUUGUUGUUGAAAAAAUCAAUUUAUUUUGUCCCUACCCUCAAAUCACUCCCCCUCCCCCCAAAUAAAAUUAUUUAAAGCUUGUUUUUAAAAACUAUUUUUAACUUCAAAUUUUUAAUUUUCUUACCCCACCCUCACCCCUCAAAAAAAAAUUAAGUUUGUUUUUAAAAAAUAUUUUCAANNNNNCCAAAAAGAAAAUUUGAUUUUGUUCUUAAAAAAAAUAUUUUCAACUUCAAAAUUCAUUCAUAAAUCAGACACUAAAAAAUCUUUUACGGAAAAUAUUUUCUACUCACCAACCAAACAUGAGAAAAUAUUUCCAAAAUCUACUUGUCCAGAUGAGGGUGACUGGAACGUGACACCUAAUCCAGUCAGUACAACCACAACCAUUAUCACACCCAUAUGAACAGUCACAUAGUCAAUUAACGGUUCCUAGCAUGUAAUUAUCUAUACUUAGUUGUCUCAUUAGGUUCAAUUCUUGUUUCUCUAUUCCCAUUUAUGUACACCUACAAUAGGGCCAUUAACAAGCAUAUACGACACCAAACUAGAAGUCGAACCAUCAUCUCACCCUAGUUCACAAGACAAGGCCUUUCCCACAGUGCACAUCAUAUUUAGCAACUAGGGUACAUGUACAAUCAUCCUUUUUUCCGUUCCCAAAGGCCUAAGCAUGAAUUCUAUCGUCAAUUAACAUUAUAGUACGCAGUGAGCACAAAUCUACGACUAUUCAAUUGAGUAAACCUAGCCUACCUGGGUGGCAAACAGCUGAAGAGGGAUUCUAGCUUCAAUCAUGGCUUCCGAAUAACAAGAUGGUGGAUUUUUGGCUGGGAUGUGAGUUGUCAUCAAGCUUAUGCUAGAAAUCUCUUUCUCCUUCCUUCCCAAGCCUAGAGCAGCCUUUUGAGGGUUUCUGGGGUGAUCCUCGCCUCUUUUUGACACUUAGAGAAAAAGGAGAAAAUAAGACUUCGCGUUAUUAAAUUCUACCCCCGACCAUCCCUCUCUGGUGCUCCCUACCCCGCUGGACUGCCGCCUCCGUAGCGACAUCACCCCGCUAUGGCGGGACAGUGGGCCCCAGCAUGCUCAAGACAUUUUGCCCUUCUUAAUUAACAACGGUUCGGGUCGUUACACACUGUCUGCCUUGUUUGGUUGGCCAUGUUAUUAUAUGGUCAUCAUGUAAUUUGUGUAAUUGGCAACAUGUUAUUACACUCUUCAAUUCAUAGGGGCGACUGUGAAUUGUUGGUAAUUAAUGGUGUAAUUGCUACCUUAUUACUUUUUAAUUUCUUCCUUUUAUUUCUAUUUUUAUUUUUUUCGUUUUAAUGUAUUUUUUAAUUAUUUAAUUUUUUUUUAUUAUUCUAAUAUUUUCUAAAAUAUAUAUUUUUAUAUUUUUUUAUAUUUCAUUUCCUUCUUAUUCUCCACUUUUACUUCAUGUGAUUUCAUGCAAUUUUUCAUAUUAUGUAAAAAAAAAUCAUUAGUACAAUUUUGUUUGUAUUCUAAUUUUAAAUUAACGUUGAAUUCAUUGUUGAAUAAAUUUAUGGACUUACGGUUUCUUUUUUCUUUUAAAUCAUAUUUAUGUGUGUUUUGUUGAAAUUCAACAUAAGAGUAUUAUGUUAAAUUUUUGUUUUGAAUUUAGAACUUAUGUUAUAUUUUUCAAUUUCCUUUUUUAGGAGUGUUAACUCGAUAUUUUACAUUGCAAGCUAGUUUUUAAGUUAGACUUGAUAGAUUAUCUUGUUGUCAAACGUUUUAUAAUUUUAUGACAUUAUAUUUAUAAUAUCAAUAUUUUUGUCAAAUAUGCAUUUCAUGAUGUUCAUAGAAAUUCUAUACUUUUAGUUUUUAUGAUAAAUUUAAUAAAAAUAUAUUAAAUUGAAAAUUAUAAAUCAAUUAUUUUUUAUUUAUUUUUAUAACAUUAGUUAAGAACAUAUGUUUACUAAUUAAUAUAUUUUCAAAAGACAAUAUAUAUCUUAAAUAUUCAAUUUAAUAUCAUUUAUAAAAGUCCUUCUUUGUCUAAUAUAAAUAAUUUUAAUAAAACCUUAUGAUUACACUUGUGCAACCAAACAAUACACUUGUCAUUACACUGUAAUUACAUUGUAGCAAACAAACAGAUCAACAUAAUUACUAAGGUUGUGUAAUUACUAGGCCGACAAUUACUGUCCUAAUAAUUACAUAAAUUUUCAUUACCUAGUGACUUUCCAAACAGACCCAAAAGUUUUUCUUUUUAGGAAUAUCAACAGUUACAUUAGGUAAGCAUAUUUUUGUAUAAUUUUUAUUUUUUUUAAAAAUAAAAAUAAAAACAAACCCAUUGAACAUGACUCCAUCAGCUAAUAUCAAAGACUUUUUGUUGCAUUUUUUAUUCUCAAUUUUAGUAAUUUCUGAACUUCUCCCCUAUAUUAAUUCAUCUCUUUUUUUUUUAAGAAGGUGGAAAUGGAUUGAAGCUGAAAAAUAUUACUUGAAACCAUAAAAAGAAUAUGCUUUAUUGCUAACAUAAUAAUACUUCAGUGAAGAACUAAUCAGAAAAAUAAGCAUAUUGUGAGUCGUAUAAUUCAAAUCGUAAGUAGUAUGAACCAAAACUCUAGCACUAUUGUGUUAAACUUGAUCUAUAUUGAAUGAUAUUAGUCACAUAUAAUUUAUAUUUCAGAAUAUUAACAUAAUUUUGUAUUUCAGAAUAAAUUAUAUGUCAUGUAAAUGUGAACCCAAAAAUAAACAUAAUAAUAAUAAAUUAAUUUAUUAUAAUUCUUUUUCUUCUUUAUUUAACAUUAAAUAAUUUUGGCAUAACAAAUAAAUUUUGGCAUACAAUAAAUUAUUUUGUAUGCUAUAUAUAAAAACUCAGCUCAACAUCUAUAUAUUUUUAUAAUUUAUUAAUUUGUUAAUAUUAUCUUUUAUCAUUGUCUCUUCGUGUUCUUCUUAAUUUGAUGAGCAAAAGGAUCACCGUUGAGCAAAUUUUGCGGGUUACCUUUCUUGAUGUGGAACGUCUUAAUUAGUCCUGUAAGAAUACACUACACUGAACAUGAAACUUUGCACCACCUAGUCUGACAAAAUAAACUAUUUUAUAUUCCACUUAAAUAUGGAUCCCACAACUAAACAUAGUUUAAAAUUUUCAUUAUAAUUCUUCUUCUUCUUAAUUUACCAUUAAAAAUAUUUGACAUGACGAUGAAUAAAUUAUUUUAUAUAAAAUAUAUAUUCAACUAAACAUUUAUAUAUUUUUGAUAAUAUGUUAAAUAUCAGUGUACAUCUUCGUAAAUCAUCAAUGUCUGUUAUUUCAUCAAAAUAUAUCUAAAUUUUGAACAAUAUUGUCCAUUCUUCAGCCCGUAUAUUCAGGAUGCAAUUUCAUAUUCUGAAAUAAAAAACCAACAAAAAUCUAGAAUCAUGAAAGGUAACCCACAAAAUUUAUUCCGAGUUUCAAACCUUGCACCACCUAGUCUGAGGGAUUAGCCCAAAAAAGUCCUACAAGAAAGAUGUUUUACUAUAAAUCACUAUACCCCCAUGUUCUGUUUUGUAAAUUGUAUAGUGUACAAUAAUUAUAUGGGGUAUGAGAUAACAUUUUUGGUGAUAACUUUGAGUAUAGAAAGUUAAAAUCAAUGUCUAUGCAUGAACUGAUUGGAACAAAUAAUACGGACUAAGAACUAGAAUAAUUAUAAUGGAGAUGACUUCUGCCCACUAGUGACGGAAGUUAUCUUUUCCCUUUUGAUAAAAAAUAUUUUCCGCAUUUUCCACAAUUCAAGGUAACACAAAACACUGAAAUAUAAUUUAAUUAAGGAAAAAAAUUUCUGGGAAUAAAUUCCGGCACAUAAAAUACACCCAAGACUUUAACUUUUCUGAAUGCAAAAUAUGCCACAAAGUAGCAAUUGUUUUUACUAACCUUCUGGAUAAACAGAAACUAUAAGACAUGCUAUUCCUCAACCCAAAAAAUUGGAUACACACUGCUAAUCACAAGUUAUUUAUUAAUCCUUCAACUGUACAACCACAUAUAAUAUGUUACACUUAUGACUUACAUAAACAUAAAUUCAUUACCAUUUCUAUAUUGUAAAAGGUGAAUCUAGUUAACCAUAAAACUUAAUGAACUGUCAACUUAACCAAUGCUAGUUCCUACAUUUCCUAAAACAAUCACUACCAACAAAGUACAAGACGCAAAUUCAGAAUUCUAAGAGAAUCAAGUACUCAAAUAAAAGAAACUUCAGAAAAAAAACAAAAAUUAAGAAAACUAACCAUCUCUUGAGAGAGGGGAUUAAUGCCAGUGAGGUUACAUUGUUGUACAAUGAUGUUUUGGAGCUGAUAAAUCUAGUUACAGAGGAUUUCCUUCUGCGAGUCGAACAAGCUCGAGAACGACGUCGUAGGACUGGUCAAGGCCAAUUGUAAUUGAUUUUCCAUUGUAGACUCCGCCAAUUGAAAUUCCGACUGACCUCGAUGUUGGACAAAAUGAUAAUCACACCCAGGAUAAUGUCCAAACUAAAUAGCAAUAGGAAGAGUGUACAUACUCCACCAACUAUUAAAAUGAGGUAAAUAUGAUACCCGAAUAAGUAAUACAAUAAUAUUGAUGAAAAAUUUCGUAUUGUCAAAAGACUACUACUCAACACUCUUUUAUUUCUUACAACUCACAAUUAUAUUACUUCCACACUAUUUUACUCACAAACUAAGAAGUAGUAUGUGGAUUACUCUCUCUACUCUCUAUUGUUUCUAUAUUUUUGGUAUGUCUUCAAGUGUUCAAUUACUACUCUAUUUAUAGAGUUUUUGAACCUCUUGAUUACAUCAUUAGUGACAUAAAUGUGGUAGCCAAUUUUCACAAAGUUUGGUUGUUAAACUAUACCAAAACUCUACCAAACUUUGACUACCAACUUCCACAAAUGUGGCUUGCUAACUUUCACAUUUGUGGCAAGUAAAUUCAACAAAUAUGACUGCCAAACUAGUUGCUGCCAAGAUUUUAUUCCCACAAAUCUCUCCCUUAAUUUUGAUUUUUCUUCUUUACUCCAAGGCUUAAUCUCAAUCUUUGAAAAUUUUCAAACGUGAGAGGCUUUGUAAAGAUAUCCGCAAUUUGAUCAUGAGAUUUCACAUACUUGAGCUUUACCUCUUUCUUGGCAAUACAUUCUCGGAUAAAGUGAUACCUUGUGUCUAUGUGCUUGCUUCGAUCACGAUACCCUAGAUUCUUUGCAACUGCUUGCGCCGAUUUGUUAUCAACACAAAUCAUUGUGGCUUCAAUUUGUGGAAAAUUGAGUUCCUUCAACAAUCUUCUCAACCAAAUAGCAUGGCACUUACAUGAUGUCGCUUCCACGUAUUCAGCUUCACAAGUCCAGAGAGUAACAAUUGAUUGUUUCUUUAAACUCCAAGAAAUAACACAAUCACCCAAGAAAAAUACAAAACCAGAUGUGCUUUUUCUAUCAUCAACAUCUCCUGCAUAAUCACUAUCACAAUAUCCCACAAGAUUAAAAUCAUCAUAAUAAGAAUAAAAUAGUCCAAGGUUGAUUGUACCUUUUAGGUACCGUAGAAUUCUUCUAGCGACCUUUAAAUGAGUAGAGGUAGGAGCUUCCAUGAAGCGACUUACUACUCCAACUGCAAAGAGUAUAUCUGGUCUCGUAGUGGAGUCCACCUUUUCACCAUAAUCAAACUUUGACAAUUUUGUUCCACUUUCCAUUGGGGUGUUCACAGGGUUGCAAUCAAACAUGUUGAACUUCUUCAAAAUCUCCUUUGUAUAACUUUCUUGAGAUAUGAAAAUGUCUUCCUCCAUUUGCUUCACUUCUAGGCCCAUGUAAUAUGAUAUGAGCCCUAUGUCCGUCAUCUCAAACUCAAGGGACAUAGCUUUCUUGAAAGCUUCAAAUAAAGAUGGGUUGUUACCCGUUAGAAUGAGAUCAUCAACAUAAAGACAAACAAGUAGAAUAUCUCCAUUAUGAUGAACUUUAAUGUAAAGAGCAUAUUCAUGGAGACAACGAGUAAACCCAUUGUCUUGAAAGUAUUUGUCAAUGCGACUAUUCCAAGCUCGUGGAGCUCGCUUCAACCCAAUUAAGGCUUUCUUAAACCCCAACACCUUAUAUUCUUGAUUUUUAACCACAAAGCCCAAUGGUUGCUCAACAUAGACUUCUUCUUCAAGAUAUCCAUUCAAGAAUGAUGAUUGGACAUCUAGUUGCUGGAUCUUCCAUUUCAUUUGCGCCACUAAAGAGAUCAAUAGAUGGAUUGUCUCCAUGCGGGCAAAAGGUGCAUAUACUUCCUCAUAGUCGAUGCCAUGCCUUUGUUUGUAGCCUUUAGCCACAAGUCUUACCUUGUAUCUCUCUACCUCUCCAUGGGCAUUUUUCUUCAUCUUGUAUACCCAUUUAACUCCAAUUGCUUGAUGGUCCUUAGGAAGAGUUGUUAACUCGCAUGUGUUGUUCUUCUCUAUUGACUGGAUAUCCUUCUGGAUGGCUUGUUUCCACCUUUAGUAAGUAACAACUUCAUCAAAGUUGAUUGGUUCACUAUCAGCAAAGAUACAACACAAAAAUUGUUUUGUUCCCCACCCUCUUCUUCCACCAUUUACAUAGCUGUGAAAUCCCUAGAACUGAUCCUGAUGGAUUUUAGCUUUGCUCCUCUUCUUCAAUUGGUUGUUGAAUCUGAAGCAUGAAUCAGUUCGAUCUAUUGUUUCGAUGUCGGUCGGAAUUUCAAUUGGCGGAGUCUACAAUGGAAAAUCAAUUACCACUAAACUUGACCAGUCCUACGACGUCGUUCUCGAGCUUGUUCGACUCUUAGAAGGAAAUCCUCUGUAGACAGAUUUAUCAUCUCCAAAACAUCGUUGUACAACAAUGUAACCUCACUAGCAUCAAUCCCCUCUCUCAAGAGAUGGUUCGUUUUCUUAAAAAAAAUAAUCCUGAAGUUUCUUUUAUUUGAGUACUUGUUUCUCUUAAAAUUCUGAAUUUGUGUCUUGUACUUUGUUGGUAGUGAUUGUUUUAGGAAAUGUAGGAACUAGCAUUGGUUAAGUUGGCAGUUCAUUAAGUUUUAUGGUUAACUAGAUUCACCUUUUACAGUACAGAAAUGGUAAUGAAUUUAUGUUUAUAUAAGUCAUAAGUGUAACAUACUGUAUGUUGUUGUACAAUUGAAGGAUUAAUAAAUAACUUGAGAUUAGCAAUGUGUAUCCAAUUUUUUUGGGUUGAGGAAUAGCAUGUCUUAUAGUUUCUGUUUAUCCAGAAGGUUAGUAAAAACAAUUGCUACCUUGUGGCAUAUUUUGCAUUUAGAAAAGUUAAAGUCUUGGGUGUAUUUUAUGUGCCAAAUUUUUUUUUCCUUAAUAAAAUUAUAUUUCAGUGUUUUGUGUUACCUUGAAUUGUGGAAAAUGCGGAAAAUAUUUUUUAUAAAAAGGGAAAAGAUAACUUCUGUCACUUAUGGACAGAAGUCAUUCUCCAUUAUAAUUAUUCUAGUUCUUACUCCAUAUUAUCUGUUCCAAUCAGUACAUAGACACUGUUUUUAACUUUCAAUACUCAAAGUUAUCACCAAAAAUGCUAUCUCAUACCCCAUAUAAUUAUUGUACAUUAUACUAUUUACAAAACAGAACAUCGGGGUACAGUGAUUUAUAUUAAAACAUCUUUCUUGUUGGAUUUUUUUGGGCUAAUCCCUCAGACUAGGUGGUGCAAGGUUCGAAACUCGAUAGAUAAACUCGGAGCAAAUUUUGCGGGUUACCUUUCAUGAUUUUAGAUUUUUGUUGGUUUUUUAUUUCAGAAUAUGAAAUUGCAUCCUCAAUAUAGGGGCUGAAGAAUGGACAAUAUUGUUUAAAAUUCAGAUAUAUUUUGAUGAAAGAACAAACAUUGAUGAUUUACAAAGAUGUACACUGAUAUUUAACAUAUUAUCAAAAAUAUAUAAAUGUUUAUUUGAAUUUAUAUAUUAUAUAAAAUAAUUUAUUCGUCAUGUCAAAUAUUUUUAAUGGUAAAUUAAGAAGAAGAAGAAGAAGAAGAAUUAUAAUGAAAAUUUUAAACUAUGUUUAGUGUGGGGUCCAUAUUUAAGUGGUAUAAAAUAAUUUAUUUUGUCAUAAAAAAAUUAUUUAAAUGAUUAAUGUAGUUGAGUUAUUUUUAUAGAUAAAAACAUUAAGUUGAGGGAUUUUAUUGAUACAAAAUAAAAUUUAAUGACUAGAUAAUUUCUCAUAGUUCAAUGAUCUUUUAAGAUAUUGACUCCUUUUUUCUCUUUCUCUGAAUGAUAAAGAAAUUUUGUUGGGACACUUUAUGUUUCCCUAAGUUAGAAGGAGGUGUUGGUUUUAAGUCCUUUUUUUUUAUGUUUCUAAUGCUUUAUUUUGUUAAUUGUGGUGGAAUUUAAGAAGCAAACCAUCACCAUGGGGAGCCUUUGUGAUUAACAAGUAUUGCAAAAAGCUACACCCUGUUGUGGCUCAAUGUAGAGUUGCCUCCCCCAUUUGGAAGAAAUUAGUUUUUGUCAGGGAGCUCAUAGAACAUCAAAUAUGGUGGAAAAUUGAGAAAGAGGAUGCUAGUUUCUGGUAUGACAAAUGGACCACCAUGGGAGCUCUAUAUCACAUCCUUCCAGAAGCAAGAGAGGAAGAAAUUGAAAUAAGACAAUUCACUGAUGCACAGGGGUGGGAUGAGCAGAAGCUGAGAGGCCAUCUUCCGACAGAUUAUGUUAUUUUUAUUAUUAAAAAGUUGCCACCACCUAAACAAACUAGUAGAGUUGAUAAGCCAGUUUGGAUGCCUUAGGCCAGUGGUAACUUCUUUGUGAGGAGUGCAUGGGAAUAUAUUAGGCAGAUAGAUCAAGAGGAAGACAGUUUUACAUAUAUGUGGAGUAAAAAACUACCUUUUAACCAGUCUUUUCUCAUAUGGAGGAUGUGGAAGUUCAGAGUGCUUGUGGAUGAAGUGGUGCAAAGCAUGGGGAUUAAUCUUGUAUCAAGAUGUUGGUGCUGCAUUCAACCUAAAUCCGAGACUAUUUCUCACCUUUUUCUAACCUCUUAUACAACUACAAAGUUGUGGAGAAUGUUUGCUAAUGUUGCAUGUAUUAAUUUAGAAGGAUUGCAACUAUCACAAGUGGUGAUUAAAUGGUGAACAAGUGAUUGUUGUCCAAUUUUAAAGCCACUUAUGAGAGCUAUACCAACUGUUAUCAUAUGGAAUCUUUGGAAAAGGAGAAACAGUCUAAAACAUGGCAGCCCAUCCUCUUACAAUAACUUGAUUUUUAGGGUCAAUACAGAUUUGUGGAAACUAGGGAGAACAAUAUAUCCUAAACUACAAGAUUUGCCAACAAGAUGGUCCGACAUUGUGGCUUGCCAGGAGAAGCAUAAACCAAAGCUAUGCUAUCUCCCAGUGUGUUGGAAACCACCAGAAGGUAUACUAAAGUGCAAUAUUGAUGGUGCAUCUAGAGGUAACCUAGGAAGAAGUUCAUAUGGAUUUUUUCUAAGGAAUUCUGUAGGCGAUGUAGUCUAUGCGCAAGGAAAAGAGAUACAGAAGGCACUAAUCUAGAGGCAUAAGCAGUUGCAAUAAGAGAGGCUUUAGCACGCUGUGUUACGAAAGGAGUUAUGAAAAUGUGUAUAGAAACAAACUCAGAAGUUGUGAUAAAAAUUCUCACUAGAAUAUGGGAAGUGCCUUGGAGUAUAAUAGUGAUAAUAGAAGAUAUUUGGGAACUCUCUCAAGAAUGUCAAGUUCAGAUCCAAUAUGUUUACAGAGAAGGAAAUACUUUGGCUGAUUAUUUAGCCAAUUAGGCUUUUAUUAAUCCAGACAGAAUUGUCUAUAAUUCUUUCACAGAGUUACCAAGUCAAGCAAAAAAAAAAUGAAUUUAGACAAGCAAUAAUUACCCAAUAUCAGAAUCAGAACAAGAAUGAUAGAUAGAGAAGGAGAGGGGAGAAGGGAUAAUGCAAUAUCAAUCAUUUCAUGAAUUCGAGCAGAACCAACAAUUUUAUCAUUGAAAAAAGAAGUAAUAGCCCGUGGUUUGCAUUGAAUUUUCAGAAAAAGAGUUACAAGAAUAAUUCUUCUCAACUUAUAGAUACAACAAUAAGAUGAUGAAAAUUUUCUCGAGAAAGUUGCAGAUACAAUUUCUCAGAUUUACCAUUGGAUUUUUACAUCGAAAAAAGGGGAUACGACAUAGAUGCUAUGCAAGAGAAAUAUGAAAGUAAUCACUUUGGAACUCACCUAAGGAAGUCCCGACAUCAAGAUAUCGAUUUUGAAUGGAAAUGGUUGGUUGGUUGUGCUCAACUCUGCAACACCUUCUGCACUUCAUUGUUGAAGAUGACAAAUCCUUAGAAGAAGAAAAAGGGGUGUACAAUGAAGAUGUAGAUGGAAAGGAACAUAGCAUUAAAGCAAGAAUUGUGAAGGUGGAGAAGACUUUACAAUUUGCAGACAACAUAAAGGGUUUCUUGAACCCUUCCAAAGGAAAUUAGUUUUCAAUUUAUUUUUGCUAGUUGUUUUUUUGUUUAAUUUAUUCUCCAGCUACUUUUGGGCUGGUCAGACGUUUUUUGUUUCUUUUUUGAACUAUUUUAGUAGUUUACAUAUAUAAAAUAGGCCCAAUUGGGUCAAGUUAUUUAAAUAAAAAAAAUAAUAAUUACGUUGCAGGCGAAUAAAGUGUUAAAAACACCAAACAAAUUGAUCUCAUUUGCAUCAAUCUCACAUCUUCAUUCAUUUUAUGAUUGAGCUCCUUAGCACCAUAUUUACAUUCACAGGUAUAAAACAUAAAAGUAUUCAAAACUCAGCAAGUGAACUCCUAAACACAAGUUAAGAAUAUAGAAUACGGGUACUCCUACCAUCCUAACUUAACCUCCACAACUACAACAUGCAUAAAAUUAUUCCAACAUAAUCAUUCACAAAUAAUAUAGCACAUACCUCAAUAACAACGCUUCGACAAUUUCAGAUCAACAAUACACGAUAUCAAGUUCACCAAUCACAAGUUUCACAGAAAGGCACUCAGAAGUUCACAAAUAAUAAAUAUAUGCAUUGCAAUUAAAUCUAAUAUCAAGUAUAGCGAUGCAUGUCUUACCUAGUGAUAUACACCCGUUGUCUCUCAGUCCGAGACCCAUGGGGGACAUAUAUGUUCAUGCAUCCAUCGCGGCGUACGCUAUGGACCUCAAUAAUAAAAUCAGUCACGACGUGUGACACGUCCAUAGAUAAUAGAAUCUGUCGCAACGUGCAACACCUGCCUCGAAUCAUAAUAUUCGUUGUGGUGUAUGACACGUCUCUCGAAAUGAUACAUCAUCUUUAAUUUCUUAUCCUUCCUCAAUUCACAUAACACUUGUCACUACCAUGUUUCAGAACCAAUGCAAAUGACAUGUUCACACAAAUAAUGAGGAGAUGACAAUUUUCAUAAAUAAUAAUGCACAAUUCAUAACAUCACAAUCGUGAUACAACAUCAACAAUGAAUCAGUAACCCUUUCAAACCAUUCUCAACACAUCACACAUCAAUAAUUAAUCACUUUGCCUUUUAUAACCCCUUUUUCAUCAUUAGAAUUAUUCAAUACGGACAAGUCAACCCAUCACCAAGUCUCAUUACUCCCCAACACAUACCACAAGGAAAUACGCGAUUCUAUACAAUACUUAAAAAGGGUUGAGAAAUCUUCUUGCCUCAAAUAAUUGAACAAUCAUUCUGGGACAUGAGCCUUCCCCAUUUGUUGGGCUUGCAAAUUAAUGCAAUCUAUUCAAAUAAAUAAUCAUAGUAAAAUUUCAAAACUAGCAACACCCAUAUUACUAUAUGUCUAGCCUAGACUCAAAAACCCACCAAAAUCUAUCAGUUCCUAAUCUUGAUUCUAAUUAACAUGUCAAGCCUCAUAUUUCCUAAUUUCAAAUUAGGGUUAAGUCUCAAUUCCUCCAAAUGUCAUAAAUCUAAUAUUAUUCAUAUUAUAAAAUGCAUAUAAUAUUUAAUCAUCUAUCUCAAUAUAUCAAAACUUAAAUCAUAAUGUGAUAAGCUUAAGAAAAAUUUCGACGGAAAUUUGGAUUAGGCCGUCAGGAUCCUUGGACCAGGAAUUUAGCUUGCAAAUUAGACUAUUUUAAACAAAAAUAAACAUCAUAAUCAAUUAUCCUAAUGAUUCGCCAAUCAGUGACAUCAUUAAUCCCUAUUCAUUAUUUAUCAGCAUUAUCUUAUUGAUCACCACAAAUAAUUUUGUCUUAUUUCUGGCCAAACAACAUCAACAAACACNNNNNNNNNNNNNNNNNNNNNNNNNNNNNNNNNNNNNNNNNNNNNCCCCCCCCCCUAAUAACAUUAUUAUACUAAUGUAAGUGUCAUAUCCUAAUUUCAUAUAAAGAAAAAUAGCUUGAGCUUCACUUAGCUCUGACCUGAAGAUGUGUGCGCCUCCACUUUGCCAGUUGUCCAAUUCCCCCUCGCCUAUUCCUUUCUUCUUCUUUUUUAAUCUAUUUUCUUUUCUAAAUAAAAUAAUUAUGUAUUAAAAGUGACAAACCCUAGCAACUUAUUCUAAUAAAUAUGGGUCAAGUGGUAUUAAAUAAAUUAUGAGUUAGCCCAUUGGCCACAAAUUAAACAGAAUAUUAAAAACUAGUCGUCAAUUAAUUAACUAUAGUUAAAUGAAUAGUUCAAAAUUCCCAAACCAAUUUCAUAAAUUGAUCAGAAAUGUCUGGGCCAACUAUCGAAAGGGGUAAAAUAGUAACCUUAUGAAAAUUUUCAUAAAUGACCUUCCGGAUCAUUACAUUAUCCACCACAAAAAACCAUGUUCGUCCUCUAACAUAAUGAAGAAGAAGGAAGAAUAAUCGACGUUACCAAAAGCCUGAGUUAUGAUUUUUCAGAGUAUGUAUUCAUCUCUCAAAGUGAGAUCCUCCUUAAGACCAUUUCAUCAAGAUCAACUACUAAGAACUAAAAUUACAAAUCAGGGGUGCUUACAAAGCCUAAGACUAACCCAUGAACCCAAUCUGAACCGAAACCCACAGGACCAUAACCCAAUUAUCAGGAUGAAUCUUUUCUCACCUAACCCACAAUAACAUUCUGAUUCAAUACUGGCUACAAUCAUAAGUGAACCUAAACCAACCACCAAACACUCAUAAUGUACAAAUUAUCACUGAUCUCAUUGAGAUUCCAUUCACACAGCAUAAUCUUUCCAGGGCUUAAGUUAUAAAAAAAUGAUAUUUUGACAUCAGGUACUCACCAGGUGAGAAUCAAACAGAUCUAACCCAAAGAAAACAAGAUCAAGUAACCACCCAACAAGCGGUACACUCGAGAAUGUAGAACUUCUAACAACACGAUCGAAAUGCUAGACCGGUAGCUGUGAUUAUAAACAACCCUUAAGAGCAGUAGAAAUAGACCCAAUGACCCCCACACUCAAUCACACAUAGCACAAACAUGACCUUGACUAUUAGAUGUAUAUUAAAACUAUCGAAAAACUAUAUCUAUUCACUGUAGCUCGUCUAUAAGUUCUCAUAAAUAUUGUUGUGCAUGUAAAAUCACCGGUAUAACUCUAUCAAGUAUAAAGUUGCCAAUAGAAUGAAAGGAACGAUGUAUUUUAUUGAUUGUAAACUAAGUAUAUAUAGAUUAUGUACAACUUCUACAACUUCUACAACUUCUACAACAAAGAGAUAACUAAGAAAAAGGUAAGACUUAUCUAUAACCUAUAUAUAAGGAGGAGGUUACAACAGAGUCCUAAAGAGAAGACACUACUAAAUCUGAUACGUUAUUACGCCCCCGCAAGUUGGUGGUGUCAACAACACCCAACUUGGAAAAUUGUUGGACAAAAGAAGCUUUUGGAAGAGGUUUUGUGAGUAUGUCAGCCACUUGAUCAGCUGAGUGAAGGUGGUGAACUUCAAUAUCCUUGUUCUGAACUUGUUCACGAACAAAGUGAAAGUCUAUGGCGACAUGCUUCAUCCUACGAUGAAAUAUCGGAUUGGAACAAAUGUAAGUGGUGCUGAUGUUGUCAAAGAAAACCUGUGGAACUGCCUUAAGUGAAAGCCAAAGUUCAUGAAGAAGAUUUGUGAUCCAGUUGAUUUCUGCAACAGUAGCAACCACAACUCUAUACUCAGCUUCUAUAGAGGACCGAGAUACAGAGCGCUAUUUCUUGGAGGCCUAGGAAAUUGGUGUGUUGCCCAUAAAAGUGAUAUAGCUAGAGGUAGAAGUGCGAUUAUUUGGAUCAACAGCCCAAUCUGAAUCUGAAUAAACAACCAAACGAGAAUAUAGAGCUUUGGCAAUCUGUAUGCCAUAUUGGCAGGUGUGACGAAGAUAACAGAGUAAUCGCUUGACUGCUUUCCAGUGAGAGUGGCAUGGAUUAUGCAUAAAUUGAGAGAGCUUUCUAACAGUGAAGGCAAUGUCAGGACAUGUAAUGGAUAAGUAGUCCAACUUUCCAAUUACCUGCCUAUCAAGAGUACCAUCAACCGAAGGAUCAUUCACUGAAGCUGUCAGAAUUGUAGUUGAGGUCAUAGGUGUAAGAGCUCGUUUACUGUCUAGCAUGUCAACAUCAUCUAAAAGAUCCAUAAUAUACUUGUGUUGGGACAAAAAAAAAGACCAGCAGUAGAAGAGAUAACCUCAACACCCAAAAUAUAAUGGAGCUGUCCAAGGUCUUUCAACGAGAAACGAGUGGAAAGACUAUCAAUUAUAUUACUUACCCCACGAAUCUGAUUUCUAGUGAUGAUUAUAUCAUCCACUUAGAUAAGAACAUAAACAGUGAAUCCAAAAUUAUGCAAAAUAAAUAAGGAAGAAUCAGAUUGGGACUUGAAAAAUCCAACAGCUAGCAAAUAACUUUUGAGCUCAUUGUACCAAGCUUGGGGAGCUUGUUUCAAGCCAUAGAAUGCUUUAUUCAACUUACAUACAUGGGUGGAGAGACUUUGAUCUUCAAAGCCCGAUGGCUGCCUCAUAUAAACUCUUUCCUCAAGGAUUCCUUGUAAGAAUGCAUUAUUGACAUCAAUCUGAUGGAUUGGCCAGUUGUACUGCAUCGCAAUGGUAAGCACCAACCGAACAGUAAUUGGUUUGCCUACCGGGCUGAAUGUGGAAUGGAAGUCUAAGCCUGGAUGCUGGGUAAAUCCCUUUGCAACAAGACGAGAUUUAUACCUGCCAAUGGAACCAUCAGAUUUAUGUUUUAUACAAAACAGCCACUUGAACUCAACCAUAUUCAUCGAAGGAGUAACUGGAACCAAAUCCCAUGUCCGAUUUCUAACAAGUGCAUCAAAUUCAGCUUGCAUCACUUCUCUCCAGUGCGGGUGAGGACGUUCUUGUUUGUAUGUAUGAGGAACAAAAGAAGAGGAGAGUUGAACAUUGACACUAAACUGCUUGGGUUUAAGGCUAUUUGUUUUGGAGCGUGUGACCAUGGGAUGGCUUGAAGUUGUCACCACGGGUGAAGAAUCAGAUGGAGUCAAAGCUAGUGCAGGUUGGAAAGGGUUAUUGGCAGAUGACUGAGAAAGUAGGUUGGUGGGAGGUAUAAGGGAAGGGAGUGGUAAUAUUGAGGUACUUAGUUGUUGGUGAUUUUUGCGUUGAUAGGUGAUUAAUGGUCUGGGUGAUGGUGGGGGCUGAGUAUUAUUCGGUGCUGGUGUAACUGUGUGUGGCAAUGAUGGAGAUGAUAAAGUCUGAGAAUUACCUGAUGCAACGGAGACACCUUCUGAUCUGGUAGACAUUGAGUUGGGUAGUGGAAAGUGUACAGGCAGAGCAUCUGGGAGGGGAUGACAAGAAUAAAAACUUCAUGGUUUAUUAGUCACAUAUAGAACAUCAGAACAAAUUUCCCAAGCGAUAUCAGUGCUCUGUUGGAUUUUUAGAUUCGAAAAAAUAUUAUGAAAAGAAUAGGUGUCUUCCAAAAACUGAACAUCCCUAGAUAAGUACGAUUUAUUUUUUACGGGAUCAAAGCAUUGGUGGCAGUAAUGUUUAUUAGAAAACCCUAGAUAUACACAAGGAGUCGAUUUUGGCUCUAACUUAUUUUUGGCAUACGGUUUAAGCCAUUGGUAACAUAAACAACCAAAAACUCUAAGUGAUUCAUACUUUGGAGCCUCGUGAAAUAAAAUUUCAUAAGGGCAUUUAUUUUGUAAAUUUGGAGUGGUUAGACGAUUUAUAAGGUAGACUACUUGGUGAUAGGAAAAACUCCAAAAAGAUGAGGGCAAGGAGGCUUGAUGCAACAAGGUUUUGGCAGCCUCAACUACAUGCUUGUGUUUGCGUUCAACUGAUGCCACUCUUUGAGGCGUGUAUGGUGGUGUCACUAAGUGUUCAAUACAAUGAGUUUUGAGAUAUGAGGAUAAACCUUGGAACUCACCACCACCAUUAGUAUAGAGAGACAUAAUUUUGGCUUGAAAUUGACGCUCAAGUAAGGGAUGUAAAUCUUGAAAGACAUCAAGAACUUCCUUUUUUGAUUUUAUAGUGAACAACCACAUGUAUUUCGUGUACUGGUCAACAAAUAAGGCAUAAUAUCUCUUGUUAUCAAUUGACAAAACAGGAGAUGGCCCCCAUAAAUCAGUAUAAAUUAUUUGCAAUGGUCGUUGACUUUGUAAUGAAUUUUCAGAAAAAGGUAACCUAUGCAUUUUAUUAGAAUAACACAAAUUACAAACGGAAGCGGUUCUAGAAUGUGAAACUGGAAGAGAAAAUUGAUGUAAAAUCGUGUUUAAAGUACGAUGAUUAGGAUGGCCUAAAUAUCGAUGCCACAGCUGUAGAGGAAUGACAACAUUGCAUUGAGGUGUAUGAUGUGCACUGCCCAACGGCCACUCAUAAAGCCCAUCUCGAUUCUGUCCGCGAAACAGAGGCACCCUCGUACUCAGAUCCUUCACACAAUAAGAAAAAAGAAAGAAUUCAAUGGAUGUAUGGCUAUCGCGAUAAAAUUUGGAAAUAUAAAGAAGAUUAUUUUUUAUAGAAUGAGAACAUAAAGUAUUGAGAAGCUUAAGUUGUUGAUUCGAUGCACUUAAGUUAGUGUUACCGGUAUGAGAUACUGGAAUGGUGUUACCGUCCCCCAUUGCUAUCUCCUCUGGACCGUGGUAGGUGUGCACAUCAGUGAAGUUUUGCGCAUUAGAGGCCAUAUGAUGAGUGGUGCUUGUAUCAACAAUCCAAGGAGCCUGUUGAGUUGGAAAUCGAGCAGCAUAGUUUUCCCGGGCUUGUAUGUGAUCAUGUGAUUGUGAUCUGCAAACCUUAGUAGAAUGACCAGGACGGUCACAUAACUGACACUUCAAUGUAUGGUCAAAACGCUGUUAUUGGUUAUUGUUGGCAGUACGCCAUGGUUAUGCACGCCUUGACUGGUUGGUGUUAGGGGAAUUUGCAUUUGAACGCCUAUUAGAGGUGUUUCCUUGGCGAGGAUGCAUGUUUGUUUGCUGUGUAAGAGCAGCAGUAAUGGGUGUUGAGAGUGGCUUCUUUGAUUCUUCAUGCUUGACGGAAUGUUCAUGGUCAAGUAACUUCUCAUAAAGUUCUAGAUAAGAGAUAGUAGAUUCUCUUGCACGAAUAGAAGCUGAUAUUUCACGGAAUUCAGGUCCAAGUCCAGUGAGGAUUUUGACAAUCAUUUCCUCAUUGGACACAUGAGCUCCAGCACUGGAAAGUUCAUCAUAGAGAGAUUGAACCUGGUACAGAUAAUCAGCGACAUGAAGGGUUUCUUUUGCGAGGCGACCCAGACGAUUGUGACCACACAUAAGCAUGGACAGUUGUGCUUUCCAAAGGAAAAAAUUGUGGCUGCCAGUUAAUUUGAUUGGUAACUGGGUGACAAGAUUAAACUGAACAAUCGUUGUAUUGGCAUCGGAGUUGGUUACAGUGAGGUUUGGGGCCAUUUUGCUAGGAAGGGUGGGAGGGUUUCUCAACAGAAAUUUACUCGUGAGAGUUAAUUGUCUCUUGAUACCAUAUAAAGUAUAAAGUUGCCAAUAAAAUGAAAGGAACGAUGUAUUUUAUUAAUUGUAAACUAAGUAUAUAUAGAUUCUGUAGAACUUCUACAGCAAAGAGAUAAACUAAGAAAAUGGUAAGACUUAUCUAUAACCAGAGGAAGUUACAACAGAGUCCUAAAGAGAAGACACUACUAAAUCUGAUGCAUUAUUAACUUCAACUAUCCCAAACAACAACAAAUCUUUAAUAACUGAAAUGAAGUAUCCCAAGGAUGCCACCCUACCAUGAGGACAAUCGCAGGAUCAGUACACCUGAUCCACCACUGGGGAUUCACCUAUAGAUAUGAAAACAUGUGUGGCAUAAGCAGUAAAUCAUACUCCAAAUAAUGUCCAAAACGAGGAUGAUGGUCACAUAAAAAUGUACAGAACCAAGGUCGAAUAACAAAAGAUACUCCUUCCAUAGUGUCCAUAGCAAACACUUCCAUUCAUCUGGCUCUAUUUCCUUCAUUUUUAGCCACCUGUAAUCAACCGGUUUGGUCCUUUUUACAAUCGUACACAUACUGGAUUUAUUAAAACCCCACAUACUUCUCACAGUACUCCACUGAAGCCAACAUACUUAAUACUAACAAAUAUCAUAACCAUACCGACCAUUUACCUUACUCUCAAAUCGUCAUGACUAGAAUCAAAGUUUUCUUAGAAAACACAUUGCCACCUUCAAAAAUUUCAAACUAUGGUUCAUUCUCUUUCCAUUUAAGCAUCCCAUGAUAUAUAUGGGUCCCACCCAAGGCUGAUAGCCCUAAUUUUAAAUCUGAUAGUUCUUUUCAUCAAUAUAAAACUAUUGAAUCAUGUUCAGUGUCAACUCCACGCAAUCAUUCACAUACCAAGUUUCAAUUACCAUUCAAACCAUCAUAUACCUCAUUCCAAAACUUGGAGAAAUUCUGGUCACCCCCGAUAAUUUUGUAUAGUAUGAGCAUAGAAUCUAUAUUUACCAUCAAGUUCUUAUAUAACACAUCAUGAUAGUUUGCAUAGUUCCAUCAACAAAGUAGUUUCAAUCUCCUUGAAAUCCUCAUUAACCAUGUAGAACCGUAGGUUCAUACUGUUGCACAUCCAUAAGUUACCUACCAUAAUUUGAAAAAUCAAGUCCGACAUAACCAUAUAGAAUCUUUCACACAUCAUUUUUUUUUUCACCCAAACAAAAACUCAAUCUGCAUAAAAAUUGAUGAUAAACCCCUAGUAAGUCUGUGCCAAACCAGUUCACAUCUCACAGUCAUAUGUGAGCUUAUAGGUAAAAGUCAAUACAACUUGAACUACAAACAAAGGGUUUGUACGAGAGGUUAUAUUCCUUCACUUUUCUUAAAUUCUUCCCUUGAUGCAAAUUAUAAAUAUCUUGAACUUCUCAAUACACGAGACUCUUGCUCUUUUCACUAACUUGCUUACUAAUCUUAUCCUUUGACUAACAACCCAUGAAAUUUUACCUUAUACUCUGAACCAACACUUUUAAGUAAAAUUUUAUUUUAGGUUCUUUAACAAUAAAAAUAAACAAACUUUACGAUCCAACCGUGCACAAGUCCUUUGAAAUGCUCAAUACUCAAUGUGAUAGAUCAUUUCUUACAUUACCAAUCCACACCUUGACAAACAUACUACCACAAACAUAGACUUACAAUGAAAGACUUAAAUUUGGAUUUCAACCAUACCAGUUACCAACUCAAAAUUACAAAAAAACUUAUCACCACACUCGAGCCGAACGCCUAUAGACUUCUUUCUCAAAUCUUAUCCAAUAGUUUUUUUAACCCAUAUGAAUGAAACAUAAUAUUAUCACCUUCACCAGAGCAAAAGAGAUAGAACUAUGUGUCACUGAACCUAAUUCUGCACUCCCUCUGAAGAUACAUUUUUGACCCUUGCAAUGAGAUCAUUAAUCUUGCCUACUUUCGAAGGCUACACUAAAUUCCACUAAUUCUUUACAUUAUGACUCUAUAUCCUUUCGAUUUCAUUUGAGUGGUUUCCUAAUAUGUCACGACCCGCACCUACACCCUGGAUGUGGCCGGCACUCGAUAACUAUUGUUGGUCCCAAAGCGAACCCUCAACCUGGCUAGCUACAAGUGAAAGACUAACUCAUACAUACAAAAGAUUAAAACUGAAUUAAUUUCAAUAAACUCAAAUACUCAACUUUUUUAUAAGUUUGUACAAUAUUCAAAAUAAAAGUAAAUACAAAAACUCCUCAACUAUGUCAAUCUAUGAAGCCUCUACAAUUACAUAAGGAUAUCGGGACAAGACUCGCGACAUCUCAAAACUACUAAUUGUAAGAUAAAGGUGAAGUCCUCCUGAAUAUAAGAAGGCUCACUAAAGCUGACUGGAAUAUCAUAUGACCCCAACGAAAAGCCUAUUGAUGAUCCUGAAUACAUGUAUCAACAUCAUGAAACGAUGCAGGCCAAAUGGCUCAGUACAUGGAAUGUACGAGCAUGUAGAGGGAAUUCUAAAGCAGAAACAUAAGCUUGAACUGGUGGAAAAGAAACAUACUUACCUCUUCUGAGCUCACUUAACUCAACUCAACUCAGAGAAAAUCGGGCUCAACUCAAUAAUAAGAUACUCAACUCAGUGAAACAUAGUUCAAGUCAACUCAGAGAAAAUAGGGCUCAACUCAAUAAUAAGAUACUCAACUUAGUGAAACAUAGUUCAACUCUGAUUACUCAAAAGAUAAAGCAACAAUAAAAGAUGCAAUAUAUGGAAAGCUUUUAAAAAUAGUUGAUAACAACUUAAUAUAUUGAAGAAUACAAUAAUAACUCAAUUUGUAUAUAAAAAUACAAUAUAACUCUAUGGGAGUUCUCUAACCGACAACUAUAACUAUGAGCUAUGUGAUGAUACAACGUCUAGCCUACACUGCCAGAACUGACCUAUACUUUGUCGAGGUAUAGAACUUACUAAUAAGUGGAUCCACUAGUCUAUGCUAAAAGUAUUAAGGAAUCAUCUAAAAAGUAUAACCCUUUGUACCCACGUUGGCUACAUGGUUUAUAGGGGAUGUGAGUUGUUAGAACUCUCCCCCAUAUCGGUGCUCAAUAAUACUCCCAAAAUAUAUCUAGAUCAUAUGUUUAAAAAUACAUAACUCUUUCUAUGUUUUAAGAUUAUUACUCAAAAAUCCCUCUUAAAAGAGAUGAUACUCAAACUGCUCAAAAUUCUUUUGGAAAGCUCAGUUUCCUCCUCCUUUAAAUGUGAAAACAUUUACUCUUCGAAAUACUUAGUUCCCAUAUAUUCAUUUUGAAAAAAAAGAACUUAACUCUACUCUUUCUCAAACUCAAGUGCUCAAGUCUUAAAACAAGUUUAAAGCGAUUGUAAAAGACAUCUCAAAAUAAGGUUCAUGCCGAAUUAUGGGCGUGAACGACUCACUUCAAGGUUUUCAAUAACCAUACAUAGAACUCAAUACUUGGAACUCAAGAACUCAAUGAUACUACUCAUCUAAAAAAUGCUCGACUCAGAGGGUUCAUGCGAAAUUAUGGGCAUGAACAACUCAACUCAAGGACUUUAUCAUACUACUCAUUUCAGGAAUGCUCAACUCAUAGGGUUCAUGCGGAAUUAUGUGAGCAUGAACAACUCAACUCAAGGACCUUCAUGGGUAACACGUAAUAGUCCCACUAUUAGAAAAAUGACCUCAAAAGGGUUAGGAACUCAAUACUCAAGACUUAGAACUUGAAGAUAGUACUCCUCUCAAAGAUACUCAACUUAUGGAGUUCAUGCAGAACUUAUGGGCAUGAACGACUCGACUCAAGGAUCUGCAUAACAAUAUGGAACCCAUGUAAAUGACUCUUCUCAUUCUCAUACUUACUUCCUCAAAACUUAGCUCAAAUCUAUAGUUGAUCUCAAAGGAUUCAUGAUAUAACUCAAAGACUUUCUUGAAUUAUUAUCUUAACUCUUUCUUUAUUUGAAUUAUGAAUUCAAGACUUAUGAUUCAUGAUAUGAAGGAUCUCCAUGAUAAUGUAGACUCAAGAAUACAUUCCCCUCAUUCUCAUACUCACCUACUCAAGUCUUGAAACAAGUUAUUAGAAAUUAUAGAAGACUCCUCAGAAGGACGCAAAGGAACUUUCUCAAAAUGUUUGAAAGAACUCUCAAGACUUUACUCUUAACUCUAUCUUGAAUUUGAAUUAUGAAUUCAACGUUAUGAUUCAUGUUAUGGAUGAUUUCUAGGUGUUUUAGAAGUAGUUUAGAGUGUUUGGAAUCAACAGGGAGUAAAGGUACACUUUAAAAAAACUUAGGCGGGUAAAACGACGGAAAAAUGGUGGGGGCAGGCAACCCUGGCGCACUGCUGGCGUGGAAUGCCAGCCUUUAAAAUUUAGAGAACACUUCCUGGCGCACUCCUAGGGCACCGCUCCAGCCCCCUCUAGCGCAUGCCCUGCCCCUCUUCUUCGAUUUUUGGCUCUAAUUCACGUAGAAUCGAAUGGUUUCUUCCCAACUUACAUAGAUUCGAAUACCUAACAUAAGUACACAAAAAUCUACUAAAAAAAAA
rnacentral:lncRNA from 1 species